UAUUGGUCAAGGGGUAUAUAGCUACAAACUAAAGUUUGUAAUGGUGAUUUAUCACAGUUGGGUAUCAAACAUGGAAAAAAUGAGAAAUUCAAAUAAGGAAAAAUACUUAAAAUAUUAUGCACCAUUUAUUUCUGUUGCCAAAGUUUUCCAACCUAUUUUUAUUGCAUGGGAAGCACUGACUAAACAAAAGCAUUUUAUUUGCAGACAUGUUUGUAAUAGAAAGGACAGAGUGGGGUAAAGGAGAGACGUGACAAACCAGAGGUCUGGACUCAAAUCUAGUGUCGUCUUCCCUUUUAUUGUCCCUCCUCCUAUGAAUACAGAGUACAUCGGCCAUCACACUUGGAGGUCUCGCUAGUUCACAUACAUAAGAAGCUGGUUCCAACUUUUCUUUCGCAGCACACUGUCGUCCCACCCUGAAUUACACAUUUUUUUCAGAAAACGCAAGCAGUAGUGCCAUCAUAGUAAUAGUUAAAAAUAAAAACACCGCAAAGAUCACAGAAGGAAUAAAAAUAAACAAAUGGUACUGAUGCAAAUAGACCACGUGCUUAGUAGCUAGAUUUCAAACGUCAUCAUAAUCUAAGUGCAAGACAUGUCAACAACCUCAGCUAGAGAAAACUCACUAAAGUCAAUAAAACUUCAUGUUAAGAGCAUGACUUGCUGAAACUUACCAUCUUAAGCUCAGGAAAAUAAACUUAUGGCAGAUGAUCGAGUUUUUAAAAAGGUUCUCUCUCACACACACACACACACACACACACACAUAAUUCACCCACGUUUAGUUCAGAAAGUGGUCCUAAGGUUUCUAAGAGAUGAACUUACAAGGACCAGCCUGGAUCUCCAUUGAGCCCUGGGUGCUUCAACAAGACGAGGAAAUAAUCUCUCUGAGGAACAAAGACAACUAUGCAUACUAAUAUCACAGGUCCAGCAGAGGACGACAGAAAACACCAAAGCAAGAUCAAGACGAUGCAUUUGCUUCUUGCUACCGGUCAAGAAAAAAAA